UACGUAGGGGGCAAGCGUUGUUCGGAAUUACUGGGCGUAAAGGGCUCGUAGGCGACCAACUAAGUCAGACGUGAAAUCCCUCGGCUUAACCGAGGAACUGCCAUCCAGACUGCUUGGCUUGAGACCGGGAGAGGUGAGUGGAAUUCCUGGUGUAGCGGUGAAAUGCGCAGAUAUCAGGAGGAACACCAAUGGCGAAGGCAGCUCACUGGGACGGUAUUGACGCUGAGACGCGAAAGCGUGGGGAGCAAACAGG
rnacentral:rRNA from 1 species